UACGGGGGGGGGCAAGCGUUGUUCGGAAUUACUGGGCGUAAAGGGCUCGUAGGCGGGUCGGCAAGUCCGGGGUGAAAGCCCCCAGCUCAACUGGGGAAGUGCCUUGGAAACUGCCGGUCUUGAGGGGAGGUAGGGGCAUGUGGAACUUCGGGUGGAGCGGUGAAAUGCGUUGAUAUCCGAAGGAACGCCGGUGGCGAAAGCGACGUGCUGGAUCUCUUCCGACGCUGAGGCGCGGAAAGCCCAGGGUAGCGAACGGG
rnacentral:rRNA from 1 species